rnacentral:rRNA from 1 species
CCUACGGGGGGCAGCAGUGGGGAAUAUUGGGCAAUGGGCGCAAGCCUGACCCAGCAACGCCGCGUGAAGGAAGAAGGCUUUCGGGUUGUAAACUUCUUUUCUCAGGGACGAAACAAGUGACGGUACCUGAGGAAUAAGCCACGGCUAACUACGUGCCAGCAGCCGCGGUAAUACGUAGGUGGCAAGCGUUAUCCGGAUUUACUGGGUGUAAAGGGCGUGUAGGCGGGAGAGCAAGUCAGAUGUGAAAACCAUGGGCUCAACCUGGGGCCUGCAUUUGAAACUGUUUUUCUUGAGUGCUGGAGAGGCAGGCGGAAUGCCGAGUGUAGCGGUGAAAUGCGUAGAUAUUAGGAGGAACACCAGUGGCGAAGGCGGCCUGCUGGACAGUAACUGACGCUGAGGCGCGAAAGCGUGGGGAGCAAACAGGAUUAGAUACCCGAGUAGUC